rnacentral:rRNA from 1 species
GACGAACGCUGGCGGCGUGCUUAACACAUGCAAGUCGAACGGAAAGGCCCUGCUCUUGUGGGUUGCUCGAGUGGCGAACGGGUGAGUAACACGUGAGUAACCUGCCCUUGACUUUGGGAUAACUUCAGGAAACUGGGGCUAAUACCGGAUAGGAGCUCCUGCUGCAUGGUGGGGGUUGGAAAGUUUCGGCGGUUGGGGAUGGACUCGCGGCUUAUCAGCUUGUUGGUGGGGUAGUGGCUUACCAAGGCUUUGACGGGUAGCCGGCCUGAGAGGGUGACCGGCCACAUUGGGACUGAGAUACGGCGCAGACUCAUACGGGAGGCAGCAGUGGGGAAUAUUGAACAAUGGGCGGAAGCCUGAUGCAGCAAGGCCGCGUGCGGGAUGACGGCCUUCGGGUUGUAAACCGCUUUCGCAUGUGACGAAGCGUGAGUGACGGUAAUGGGUAAAGAAGCACCGGAUAACUACGUG